UGUAUGUGUGUGUGUGAAUGUGAAUGUGUGUAGGCAUGAGGGGCUUAGAGGACUUCAGAGGCAGAUAUAAUGACAGUGAGAGUCAUGGUGGAGCCAAAACAAAACAAAAACACACAAACACAAACCUAAAAUACAUGACUAAGCUCUGUGCACCAGCAGAGGAAGUAGCAGCUGGAUACUCACAAGAUCACAGAGGAACCUUAGCGUCCAACCCAUCUCCCAAGACACAAAGUGUAUGUCUAGUGUAUCUGACAUGGUCAUUUGGCUCAGACUUCUAGGGACAGGAACACAAGGACCACACGUGGCAGCUUGUUUCAGAGUUUUCCUUUAUACAGAACGGGGAAUUCCUUUAUGGCACUCUGACUCUGGUUCUGUUGUGACACUUUGGCCUGGAGUGUGGAGGCAUGGAAGCCUGACUCAUGUCCGCCUUAAGCCUUCUCUUCAUUCUCAUGUGACCCAGGCUCCAGCUUUUGAUAUCCCGGCCACCCACCUCUGGAUGUGUUCCUUAUCCAGAAUUUGAUGCAUUGGAGAUGUCAUCUAUUAAUUUUUCAAAAU